CACUCGGAGAAUGUCCUCUUGUUCAGAAAUGGCAUGAAGCUCAAAAAGUAAUACUAACAAUCUGUGUCCAUUCUUGGAGUUAAUUCGUGAUUAAGGGAGUCUUCACCUCUCUGAGUUCUGAAUGUGUAAGAAAGAUUCACGCAGGUUCUAUCCUUUGGAGUAAAGUAAAUAGAGAUUGCCUGGAAGAGUACAAAAGAAAAACUACUCUGGGAAGUGUGACUAGAAGCUGAAGAGAGGGACAACCAAACAUGAAAACUAUGACUCAAAGCUACAGACACAGAUGACAAAUACUCUUCUUUGGAAAGUUUUUCUUGGAGAGGAAAAUGAGGAGCAGUAGAUAUCUUUUGUAACUCAGCAACAGGUAAAUAUCUAUAUGGUAACAAAAAGUCAGAGAUUAUCUUUUCUGAAUAAACCAAUAUUGUUGAAGGAAAUAGAAAUACUCUAGGUUUAAGGAGAAACUCUGUACGGGGU